rnacentral:lncRNA from 10 species
GCCAUCUCAGCCUAAUGACCUUCCAAUUAAUUAUUUUAACAAUACAGAAUGCUUCAUAUAAUACCAAUAUAAAAUAAUAGUUAUACAAUGCAGAUGCUAAAAUGUAUUGAAGAGCAGUGAUAGCUGAUCAUAACACAUUUAGAAUUCAGCAACUCAUAGGAGAACGUGUUACUUUACUUUCUCAUUGGGUUGACUUCCUGUCCAUUCAGUAUCAUCUUAGAUGGAAAACUGAAAAUUAUUUCUUACUUGGUCUGACUCUCUUUCCACUCUCUUUUCUACCUUCUUCUCUUUCAGCUCCCAGACUUCAUCCUGCUUCAGCUCCUGUCAUCCUGUGCUGUGGAAUUCCUAAACCUCUUAGCUUGAGCCCUGCAACGAUCUGAUUUUCACUCCGUUCUAGGAAGGUUCCAUUCUUCAGUGUGGAGCACAUAUAAGUAUGCAUCUAUAUUGGAGAAAUGAAUGCUAAACAAACGAGGACUUCCUGCUCCUUGUUCUUGGGCCUUCAGGUUUGAACUGGACUUAUACCACUGACUCCCUGCUUAGACUAGAACUAUAUCACCAUCUUUCCUGAGCCCCCAGCUUUCAGACAGCAGAUCAUUGGCCUUCCUAGCUUCCACGAUCAAGAGGUGGGGCCUUUGAGAGGCCAUUAUAUCAUGAAGGCAGAACACUCAGGAAUGGGGUCAGUGCCGUUAUAAAAGAUGCCCUGGAGAGACCUUUUGUCCCUUCUACCAGAUUGGAAAAGCAUUGGAAAAUUUGUCCAAAGUCACUCAACAGAUUCAUGAUGGAUCCUGGAUUCACAGCCAGCUUUACUUGGCAAUAAAAUUCAAGUCCUGUUCACAUCACAACACAUUUUUACCGAAAGAAAAAUAUGAUGUGUAGAUGUUUGGAGGCAUCCUAUCUUAAUGAGGCUUUUGUUAGAAAGAGUUUUCUUAAAAUUACAGGGUUGGGGAAAUAAAAAAUGUUUGUUGCUCAGAUUAACAAAAAAAUGGUAUAUAGAAAAUAAAGCUAAGAAAGGAAAGUGCAGACAACCAAGAGACUAGAAUUUUCAAUAAAUGGCAAAAUUGUGGUGUUCUGUGGUUACCUCUUGAAGAUUUGGCCUGAAUCAUGCAACAAUUGCCCCUUACCCUCAGUCCUCAAAUUACAAUAGUGAAAGAGGUUUCUAUAGGUAUUAUAUUUGAAUCUGCUAUAUUUUGUUUAUUACUUGCAAGGACAUAUAGGAGAGCAAAAGUUUUCCCUCUAAUUUCUUAGGUUUAGUAACUGGAACUUGUGAAUUAAACUGGCAAAAUACAGAUUAACAGGAGAAGAGUCAUAGACAUUUUAUUUUAAAUUUCAUAUGCAAUGUAGUUCCAGAGAAAAGAAGUGAAAGCCUGAAGAAGCAAUUAGACUUGAGGAGUUAUAUCUUUAACAAAGGGUGGUGAGUGUAGAGAAGUGACUAGAUUUUUUUUAAGAUGGUUUUAGGCUUCCAAGGGUGAUAAACCAUGGGAAGGAAAAUACAUGAGGGAAACUAAUGGUAUAUAGGAGUUAUUUAGUAAGGUUUGUUUACACAGACUAAUCUCAGUGGUAAGAACGGUUUUUCUCCUUUUUCUGGUCAGGGGAAGGAGAAGGGACACCAUCACAAUGGGAAUUUGUGCUUUGCUGGUAGACAAAUAGGAGCAGAGCAGAGAACUUCUUUCUCUCAAUUGUCUUCAGCUCAGAAUAAUCCUUAUGCCAAACAGGCAUAAUUUGGAAUUACAUAUUUUCAUCCUCUCCACACACAAGCUUCCGUAUAAAGUUCAAAGACAGUAGUAUUUUCUUAUAAUUCACUCUGCCCCAAAUAUUAACUAAGAUGACAUUCUUUUUCCAGCUUGAUUCUGCAACAUUCACUUCCAGAAACUUUAUCACUCUUAAUCCUGGAUUGAAGGAAAAUAUUUGAAUGUGAUAAAGGAUAUAUAUUUUAAAAAGAAAGGAACUAUAAUAAAAGGCAAGAUUCAGAAAUUAUGUUGUAAUCUGUGACUUAGUGCAAUUUAGUCCUUGAAUUUCUUGUGUGCAAUUUAUUGAAGCUAUCUUAUUAUAUGUUAAUUCUGUGUCUUCUUUGCCCUCUCUUUUUGUAAAAAUUUUCUUUUUCUGAAUUUUUUUCCAGAGUCAAUCAUUGAUCUUCUUGAUAACAUUCAUUUCCCUUGGUGAACUAACUUUGGUUCAUCGCUUUAUCAUUCUUCUCCAGGCUGUUUUUGAAGGGUCUGUGAGCUGAGAAUGGUUUUUAAUAGAUAAAUGCUCACAAUCAAUUUGGGGAUAAGAAAUAUUAUUUUGAAUCUCAGUUACAAAAAAUGUUAUCCUUCAUAAAAUAAUUCAUUUUUUUCUCAGUAAUAAAAAUGUAUUUCAAAAAUAUGGUGUCCUUAUUAUAUUUUAAAUUUUGCCAAUAAAAAUAAUAAAAAUUGAUUUUCUCUAAUUAUGUAAGUACCUAGAUGAUUUUUAAAAUUUUGUCUCUUGACUUAUACAAAGCCUAAAAUAUUUAUAACUGCC